AUCAAUCAACCAUUUAUUGAGUCCAGAUGUGGUACAGCCCCAGCCGGAGAUGACCCAGAGGUGGCGUGGGGAGGAGAGAGAUGGGGAAGCCGAGUCCAGGGCCACAGGUGCAGCCAGGAGGGGCAGGUGAGCAGCGCUCAGGCCGGCCUGUCAGCCUCAGUCCUGAGCUUGCUUCUGGUGGUGGAGGGAGAUAUACAGAAAAGAUCCUGCAGCCUGCAGGUGUGGCACAGCUGAUCUCGGGCCAAGGAUGCACAGCUGUGUGUGUGCCUGGCCACCGGCAAGGGCACGCGUGCUCAGAAGCACAGGUGUGCCCACACCCUGCGUGCCUGUGUGUGGCGCAGCAGCUCCCGACUCGCGCACGACACACACACAGCACAGACAGACCCUCCCAUGGCCACAUGGACAAAGAUGGCUUCACCACAGACACCGGUGCAGACAGGAUGUGCACUGCUUUCCAAGGCCUGUGCGCAACACAGACCCAGGGCCUGCGGGCAGCAGCACCGCACAGACCCAGGCACACAUGAUCCUCAGCCAAGGUGGCCUGUCCAGUGCCAGGGUCCAGUCCUGGUGCUGCUGGACGGAAAGGCUAACCCGGGAGGUCAGGGGUCAUGGUAAAUCAGCUGGGCUCCCUCAGAUGCUCCUGCAGAAGUGGCCAGGACCUCAGGAACGCACCUGCUCCUGGUCAGACAGGAGGGGCUGCCGCACUGCAACUUGCCCGCGCCUUUGGGUGCUGUGAGCUGGCUGUGCACCACAUCGUUUCAAGGACACAAGAAGGUGUUUCCAAGUCCAGUCUGUCCACCGACCUGAACCUUUACCAUUGAAAGAACAAAGGGGUGGGGCCCAGGGGACCCUUCCCUGCCCUCCCAUGGUGUGUAAUCAGGGAUGCUCCUGCAGACACACAGGUGGGCUCUGACUGCCAGAUCGCAGGGGCGGUGCCAUGGUCCUCACCUGCCAUGUCACUAGUGUGCUGACACGCACACCAGCGAGAGAGAGAGUGCUAGGACCGGCACAUCCCAGACAAUUCCUCUGUAAAUGGUGCAGCAGCCAGAGGCCCCGGCACCUUGAGGCUAAGCAAAGGGAAAGAAUAGAGUUCUCCAGAACCCCAAGGAGCGGGAGGGUCUGUCCCAAUGGAUGGGCUCAGCCAAUUUCACCUUCUCCUCCCCCUGCCAACACUGCGGCCUGCAGCCUGGACCUGGCCCGGGUUGUGGAGGGGACCAGAGGAUGCAGCUGCCACCUGCUGGGUGGACGUGGGCCUAGGUGGUCCUCAGCGCUCAUGGCAGGAGCCCCCGAAGCACUGUUGCGACACCCUCUCUGACACUGGGUCGGAGACUCUGGGAGCCGAGUGCAGAGCCAGGGCCCAGCACGCAGGCCUUGGGCUCCAGUCCCUGUCCCCCACAUCUGGAAUGUGCCAGCAGGGCCCAGUGCGAGAGAAGAGCAGAUCCCUACGUGAGUGAGGGUGGAGGAAUGGUGCCUCUGCCAUGGCCACGGUGCCGCCGUCCACAUCAGCUCACUCUCAGCACAGAUGCUGUGUGAAGGCCUCGGGCCACGCCGCUUGUUCUGAGGGCCCCAGCGGGUCGGGCUCUUGCUGUGCUGGCUGCACAUUGACUAGCUGGUGAGCUUGGCGGGUCUGUGGGCACAGAGAGACCAGAACCCGCAUAACAGGCCCAAUGAGGAUGCCAGGCUGCAGAGGAGAGGGGCACCAGCCAGGGGCCCUGCACAGACAGCUUCAGGUGCAAGGAGCUGGAGCCCAGGCCAGCUGGGGAGGGGCAGGGUGCGGUGGCUGGAAGUCGCUAUUCUCAGACCCGGUUCUAAGACCCUCUCCAACUGCAUGGGGGGGGGGGUCCAGGCUGGACCCCAGAUGUGACGGUGUAUGUGCUGGGAUGGGAGUCCCCUGAGAACAGGGCUUUUGUUAAUUCACCAGCAAUCCCACAAGUCUGGCACGAGAUAGGUGGUCAGUUAGUGAAGACCACACGCAGGGGGUCUUCCACUGUGUCCAGGGGAGGGUGGGCCCUGCUCACAGCCAGACUGGGUACAGCUCCAGGUGGGCUCCGGGGCUCGCCCAGGGCAGCUCAGCCUCCUAGCCCUGGGCAGCCCUGCUGCCUGCCUUCCUGUCCCUGGUGCUCUGUAGGAGUCUGACCACAGGUAUCCUCUUCAUCAGAGAGAGGAAAGCUCACAACGUGGGAGAACUCCAGGCCUGGCCCAGCGAAGACGUCCUUGUCUUCAGCAGACGUUGCCCAGUGCAAGGGGAGGUCAGUCUCAGGAGACAGUCUCACGCUCAGUGGCGUGGUGUCUGUCCUAAGGCCUUGCCUGCAGCACAGGGUGCCACAGAGGUCCCCUGUGACAGAGCCUCAUGGCUGGGGCAGGCAGGGGUCACACCUGCUCCUGCACGAAGAGGCAGAUACAGACCCAUGGAGUGGUCUCUGGGGUCCCACAUCCCAGGUGGAGAAUGACCCACGUCGCUGGCGUCUGUGUCAUCUCUGCUCCACUGACCACUCAUGGGGGUCCUAGAGAUCCUGACGCUGGUGGCCGGGGAGCAGCAGCCCAGGCACAGGCCCCAGUGCACACGCAGAUCCUACCAUGUCUGCACAAGGCCUUGCCCCCACGAGGCCUGGGCGCCGUGUGAGGGCCGGGACGCUAACACAGCGGAGGGUACCCACGCGUGAGCUGUUCUGGGGUCCCUCCCCAUGUUUCUUCGGGUAAUGAAACUUGUACCUAAAUGGGAUAUGCAGGGUUCCACUGUGCAGUUGGUAUGUAUUUUAGGAUCUCAUCCCCGUGUGCCCCAGCAGGACCACAGCUGUGACCGGCUGCUCCAGAAGAAGUGGGUGGGUUGAGACCCCACCGGCCGGGUCACUGGGGGCAGCAGGCCCUCUGUCAGCACUGAGUUCUGUGUCAUGUCAGGGAUUUUCAGGGCGGCAAGCUUAGGUGGACAGGCAGUUUUAUUCUGUUUCCCAUGUCAAGUCCAGCUCCAGACUGACUUUCUGAGGUCACAGACGGAGCCUCACCCCAUCCAAGGCGGUGUCCUGGACUCCCACUGUGCUCCCCAGAGGGCAGGGUGAGUGCGUGGCAUCCUUUUGGCGGGCGUGGGUGCCUCUGUGGACCUGGCGUGAGGCUUCUCUGUUUCUGAGUCUCUUAUGGACCAUCUGUCUUCUGUGUGGCUGCUGAGGAAUCACACUGAGGUGGCCGUGCAGGUGGCUGAAUGAGAACAGGACCGCCAUGCUGCACAGCCCUGUGUGACCCCGGGGAUGGCCCCAGAAGCGAGUGGGCAAGGCUGGGCAGCAGGGAUUGGCUGAAAUCAUCUUCAGAGCCCAAGGUGCAGGGGAAAGGUGGCAAUUCCAGGGUCCCUUUGUUCGCCAGGUACCUGGGGCCCAGCCCGGGCAGCAGGAGGGACUCAGCCCCUCACCCAGGGAGGAAGGGUCCCAAGCAGAGGCCCCUCCUUCCUGUACUCCCCAGCCCACACCUGCAGCACUGGGACCAAGAUUAAUAAAACACCCGCCUCACGGAAGACAGCUUUAUCUUGUUGAUCGGAAGUCUGCCAGCCCAAUUUAUGAUGGAACAUAAGAUCUCCAAAUCUGAAUUUAUGCGCUGUAGGGUAACGAGAGGUCAAUAAGAUUAAACGGGGGCUCAGGAGAGGACCAGCGUCAGGCUCACUGCGAGGUGCUGCACAGAAAACCCACAGCCAGAGCCCCUGGGCCCAGCCCAGGCAAGACCAGAAAGGGAGGGGGCAGGUGGGAGACCAGCCUGGGGCUCCCGGGAAGCCUACGGGAUGGAAGCGGGAGAGCCAGGAGGCCUGGGGCAACCCUGGGACGGUUCCUGGAUCGAGGAGAGCAGGGGGGUGAUGAGGGUUCCCUCAGGGCUGGGGAGCCUUCUCCUGGUCUCAGACCCACCCCCCCUUCAGCUCCCAAGCCCUGGGUGCCCCUGGCUCAGAACAGUUGGGAAUCUUCCCUGAGGCAGGUUCAAGGACAGAGCUCUGACCCUGGCCCAGGGCUGCUUUGGGUGCCCAUGAACUUGGCUUCUGGCUCAGAGCAGUUCCCUGCACCCAUUCCUGAGCCCUCUGUCCUCUGGAACCCAUGGGCAGGGUGAGGGACGGGUGCUCCGUCUGGGUGGGGGCCUGGGCGCCCAGCCAGCACGAGGCUGGCUUGCUGAGCUUAGGGCAGACCCCGACUUCAGAAUUUAUACAAAUAAACGCAAUGAAAAGUGCUGGCAGCCUGA
rnacentral:sRNA from 1 species